rnacentral:misc_RNA from 1 species
GAUGAAGAACGUAGCGAAAUGCGAUAAGUAGUGUGAAUUGCAGAAUUCAGUGAAUCAUCGAAUCUUUGAACGCAUAUUGCGCCCCUUGGUAUCCCGAGGGGCAUGCCUGUUCGAGCGUCAUUUCACCACUCAAGCCUGGCUUGGUGUUGGGCGACGUCCCCUUUGGGGACGCGCCUCGAAACGCUCGGCGGCGUGGCACCGGCUUUAAGCGUAGCAGAAUCUUUCGCUUUGGAAGUCGGGGCCCCGUCUGCCGGAAGACCUACUCGCAAGGUUGACCUCGGAUCAGGCAGGGAUACCCGCUGAACUUAAGCAUAUCAAUAAGCGGAGGA